AUCAACGUUCUUCCAAAUGAAACAAAUAUAAUUUUUGUUGCCAUUUUCCUUUAAGGAAUGCUUAUAAUCUAGUACAGAACAGUGACUUAGACUAACAACGUUGAACAAGGGAAAAACAAAUUUAAACUGCUCCCAAGCUUGAGACGUUCAAGCUUAUCGUAAUCUCACGUCCCCGUUCUAUAUAAAACAUUGAACAUUUCUUAACUUGUUCAGGAAGUUUGCCUCAAGUUAAAAGGAAUAAGGUUUAAAAUAGAAUUAUUUACAGUUAUACAUUCAAGCUAAAAUAUGCGUUGUCGGCGUUUCGUUUAGCAGACGACAUGCAAAUUACGAAACAAUUAAUUAAAGGGAAAUAGCAAUAAAAAUUAAGUUUGUCCCAUUUGUAAGAGUGAUUCAAUAAAUUUCAAAAUCUUAACACAUACUUUCUUUAUAGUUUUUGAUAUAAAAGAUGUUACUCUUCAUUUCAAACAAAAUCAUUACGCAUUUCGCCAUCUUGUAUAUUAUGCAUAUCCAUCGUCGGAUAAGCUUGACGUCACAACUAGGGUAACAUUUUGUACCUUGAGCAUUUUAAUGUCAAAUCCUAUUUUUUAACUCCUGGUCAUUUUAAAUUAUAGCGCAAGCUAUAUACAUAAACUUUCAACCGAUUUAUUUUUUAGUUUUAAAACGUCUACCUACGUCAUUUUCUUUUGAGGAAAUUAAACCGUUAAGGGACCGUUCAUUAUUUAUACCUGGAAUUGGUACCGAAGAGAAGCGAAAAACACUGUAAUUUUUUUAUUUACCCAACCUCGACAAUGGUCAAAAUAAUGUUUACCGGCCCAUGUCUAGUAUACUGUACUGCAUAAUAAUUAUUACACACAAGAUUAUGGUGACAGAAAUCAAGAUGCCUAAAUUCUAAAAGCUUCACUCACACACAAACUCACUGAGUGUGUCAAAGCAAUCACAAUCCCGCUGAUCAAUGAUAGAGUCCUUCCUCAAUCACUGAUGAUCUAUUUUGAUACAAAAUGUAGGUAUUUUACACAUUUUUCUUUAUAUUUUCCAAUGAAUGCUAAUUUUAGUUUUAUUUUAUAGCUGACAGACCAGGGCCUUUUUUAACAUACAAGCUGGGGGGCAUUUGCCCCCCCCCCCACGGAAAUCACAUUUUGCCCCCCCAGGAAAAGUCCCUUUUUCCUAAAUGUAUACCAACAAAACAGCGAAGAAUAACAAAUAAAUAAACGGAAAGUAAGUUUUAGGCUUUAUCCUUUGUCCUUGUUUAACAAAAUCGAUCUAAAUUGUUACGUUUUUCUACCACUAAGUAAUGAUAAAUUAUUGUUAAUAAUUUUUUAUUUUUUGGUUGCUCAGAAGGCAGGAAAGAGCAUUUCCAGGUUUCAAAUUUGAAAAAUUUUCUGGAGAUUAUGCCCCCACACACGUGGCCUUCGGGCAUUGGUAUCCCCCUCUAAUAAGUAUAAUGAUAAAUUAUGGUUAAUAUUCUAUUUUACUUUUUGUGCAUUUUUUCCUUCUUUUAUUUCAAAUACAAGUAUAGUUAGCAUAAAUUUUAGAGCAAAUUUGGAUGCUCAGAAUGCAGGAAAUGGCAUUUCCGUGUUUCAAAUUUCAAAAAUUUUCUGGGGGAGUACACCCCCACACACGUGACCAUUGAGAUCCUCCUCUAAUAAGUAAUGAUAAAUUAUGGUUAAUAUUUUUUUUUAAACUUUUUGUGGGGUUUUUCCUUCUUUUAUUUAAUUUUGGAGCGCAUUUGGAUGCUCAGAAUGCAGGAAAUGGCAUUUUUGUGCUUCAAAUUUCAAAAUUUUUCUGGGGAAGUACACCCCCCCUCAUUCAUGCGUGCAUGGUAUAUUCGGCGCACACGUGGCCUUCAGCCAUUGCUAUCUCCCUGUAAUAUAUUAUCUCACAGAAAGGUCCCUUUUCAAAAAAUCCCCCACGGGAAAAUUCUUAAAAAAGGCCCUGUGACAGACAGCCAUAAUUUUUUUUACCCAAUCCAUGAGCUAGUCAAAAACUUGAUUACGCAACCCAUAUCUCUUCGGUACCAACCCCGGGUAUAAAUAAUGAACGGUCCCUAAUGGGAGUAAUGCUAUUCACAAAUUAUUGUAUAGAUUGACAUUAAUUUAUCAGUUCGCUGAACAUGAAACCAAAUAUAUAUCGUUUCGAAAUCUAUUUAACACGAUCCUUUGACAAAGUUAUACUGUGCACAAAGCAUCAAAACAAAGACAGUCAGUUGUUUUCGAUAAAUCUAAUAUAGACUUUUAGAUUUUUUGAUGUUCAGUCGUUGCACAUAUGUGCUAUAUUUGUUUAGCUAUAUAAUUCUAAAUACCUAGUAUUUAAAGAAUUAUGUAAGGCUGUAGUUAUUACAACUUGCUAUAGAUGAAAUAAAUUUCACAAGAAAAACAACAAACAUGCUGUUUCAACUUUUUCAGAAAUGAACAAAUAAAAAAAAUGUAUUAAAAAAUCAAAUCAGUCGCUUUCAUCUCCUUAAGAAUUAAACAGCCCUGCUAAACAAAUACUGGCAACGCAGAUUGUUUUAUAUGCGCACGGGUUAACGACUUCAUCUAGUUUUCGGACUGAAGAAGGUUUCAAGCUAUUUUCAUGUGAGCGAGAUAUUUACCGUUCAUGUAAACAACACAACAGUUUUAUGUUAAUUCACUUAAAUUUCUUUUGUUUUUGGUGCAUUAUAUGCUAUAAGUGCAUGGUACAUUUAAAAACUUACAUACUCCUGCAUGGUAUACCUAUAAAAUUAACGGUUACCUCGGCCCGCACGUAAGGUAUGCUUUAAUACUUUGGCCAUGCAUAUAUGCCUUAAUUCUUACGUUGUAUUCUAUUAGCCAAUAAAAUUCAAAUAGACUUAAUAUAUCCCUUUGACAGUAUCAUCAAUUUCGUAUCAACUGCUUUAGCCAAUAAAAUCGAAAGGAAUAAAGAUCAAUGUGAAACUGAACAUUAAAAAAUAUUACAGAGUUUGCCGAACUACGCUGUCGUUCUCGGCACAAUUUUGUGAAUAACCUCCGAAUAAAUGAGCGCAAUAUUUGUAUAGUAAACAUACAAAUUUGCAAGCGUUCUGACUCCGUGUCAAAAAUUAUGAUCUUUCUGUCAUUUGUAUAAAACAACCUAAAAACUAGAAAUAAUUACAGUCUACAUGUGCAAGUAGUAGUAUUAUGCAAGAAAAUAAACCAAAGGUGACUG